GAUGAACGCUGGCGGCGUGCCUAAUACAUGCAAGUCGAGCGAACUGAUUAGAAGCUUGCUUCUAUGACGUUAGCGGCGGACGGGUGAGUAACACGUGGGCAACCUGCCUGUAAGACUGGGAUAACUUCGGGAAACCGAAGCUAAUACCGGAUAGGAUCUUCUCCUUCAUGGGAGAUGAUUGAAAGACGGUUUCGGCUAUCACUUACAGAUGGGCCCGCGGUGCAUUAGCUAGUUGGUGAGGUAACGGCUCACCAAGGCAACGAUGCAUAGCCGACCUGAGAGGGUGGUCGGCCACACUGGGACUGAGACACGGCCCAGACUCCUACGGGAGGCAGCAGUAGGGAAUCUUCCGCAAUGGACGAAAGUCUGACGGAGCAACGCCGCGUGAGUGAUGAAGGCUUUCGGGUCGUAAAACUCUGUUGUUAGCGAAGAACAAGUACGAGAGUAACUGCUCGUACCUUGACGGUACCUGACCAGAAAGCCACGGCUAACUACGUGCCAGCAGCCGCGGUAAGAC
rnacentral:rRNA from 1 species